rnacentral:rRNA from 1 species
AUUGAACGCUGGCGGCAUGCCUUACACAUGCAAGUCGAACGGCAGCACGGGAGCAAUCCUGGUGGCGAGUGGCGAACGGGUGAGUAAUACAUCGGAACGUGCCCAGUAGUGGGGGAUAACCCGGCGAAAGCCGGACUAAUACCGCAUACGACCUACGGGUGAAAGCAGGGGAUCGCAAGACCUUGCGCUAUCGGAGCGGCCGAUGUCAGAUUAGCUUGUUGGCGGGGUAAAAGCCCACCAAGGCGACGAUCUGUAGCUGGUCUGAGAGGACGACCAGCCACACUGGGACUGAGACACGGCCCAGACUCCUACGGAGGCAGCAGUGGGGAAUUUUGGACAAUGGGCGCAAGCCUGAUCCAGCCAUGCCGCGUGCGGGAAGAAGGCCUCGG